AUUGAACGCUGGCGGCAUGCCUUACACAUGCAAGUCGAACGGCAGCACGGGAGCAAUCCCGGUGGCGAGUGGCGAACGGGUGAGUAAUAUAUCGGAACGUGCCCAGUCGUGGGGGAUCACGUAGCGAAAGCUACGCUAAUACCGCAUACGAUCUAUGGAUGAAAGCGGGGGAUCGCAAGACCUCGCGCGAUUGGAGCGGCCGAUAUCAGAUUAGGUAGUUGGUGAGGUAAAGGCUCACCAAGCCGACGAUCUGUAGCUGGUCUGAGAGGACGACCAGCCACACUGGGACUGAGACACGGCCCAGACUCCUACGGGAGGCAGCAGUGGGGAAUUUUGGACAAUGGGCGCAAGCCUGAUCCAGCAAUGCCGCGUGCAGGAUGAAGGCCUUCGGGUUGUAAACUGCUUUUGUACGGAACGAAACGGCGAGCUCUAAUACAGUUUGCUAAUGACGGUACCGUAAGAAUAAGCACCGGCUAACUACGUGCCAGCCGCCGCAGUAA
rnacentral:rRNA from 1 species